UGAAAAGUAUUUAGAUUUUCCUAACUGA
rnacentral:sRNA from 1 species